GUUGAACGCUGGCGGUAUGCUUAACACAUGCAAGUCGAACGAUGAGAAAGAGCUUGCUCUUUCGAUUAGUGGCGGACGGGUGCGUAACGCGUAGGAACCUACCUAUUAGUGGGGGACAACUUAGGGAAACUUAAGCUAAUACCGCAUACGCACUACGGGGGAAAGAAGGGGAUCGCAAGACCUUUUGCUAAUAGAUGAGCCUGCGUAGGAUUAGCUAGUUGGUGGGGUAAAAGCUCACCAAGGCGACGAUCCUUAACUGGUUUGAGAGAAUGAUCAGUCACACUGGAACUGAGACACGGUCCAGACUCCUACGGGAGGCAGCAGUGGGAAAUAUUGGACAAUGGGCGAAAGCCUGAUCCAGCAAUACCGCGUGUGUGAAGAAGGCCUUAGGGUUGUAAAGCUCUUUCAAUUGGAAGGAAAACCUCGAAGCUAAUACCUUCGAGUUUGACAUUACCUUUAGAAGAAGCACCGGCUAACUCCGUGCCAGCCGCCGCCGUAA
rnacentral:rRNA from 1 species